rnacentral:rRNA from 1 species
AUUGAACGCUGGCGGCGUGCCUAACACAUGCAAGUCGAGCGGCAGCGCGGUAGCAAUACUGGCGGCGAGCGGCGGACGGGUGAGCAAUGCUUGGGAAUCUGCCUAUCAGUGGGGGACAACCCGGGGAAACUCGGGCUAAUACCGCAUACGUUCUUCGGAAGAAAGCAGGGGAUCGCAAGACCUUGCGCUGAUAGAUGAGCCCAAGUCGGAUUAGCUAGUUGGUGAGGUAAUGGCUCACCAAGGCGACGAUCCGUAGCUGGUCUGAGAGGACGACCAGCCACACCGGAACUGAGACACGGUCCGGACUCCUACGGGAGGCAGCAGUGGGGAAUAUUGGACAAUGGGGGCAACCCUGAUCCAGCGACGCCGCGUGGGUGAAGAAGGCCUGCGGGUUGUAAAGCCCUUUCGUUGGGGAAGAACAGUGUCGACCUAACACGUCGGCACCUUGACGUUACCCAAAGAAGAAGCACCGGCUAACUCUGUGCCAGCAGCCGCGGU